UAAUGAUACGUUCCUGGGCAAUGCUACAAAACCAACGAAUCAUAUGCCACCGCGCAUAUCAGGAACCUGUAGAGGGACUUUGCGCAUGCAACAUCAUGUUUCACGGAUGUAUGUAUAUGUGGGUGAAUGACGGGAAGGGUUGGAAAAUAUGUAAAUAAUGCUGCAUCGCAGCUUCGUCACCCAGCGCCCCUUAUUGAUAUGAUAAUGUGUGGCAUAUAAUUUCAAAUGAACAAUGCAAACGCGCAUUAUUUUUCAAAUAAUUUACCGGUUUCAUGGAAAUUCAGGAAUGACAGAUGUAAUUUACAACAUAAUAGAAAAAGUCAUUCUGCAGGGUGAGAAUAAACGAAUAGACUAAUCGAUGAUGAUAUUUAUUUCCGAAAGCGAAUAGUGUAUGAAUUUGCAAUUAUCCAUAAAUAUGAAUGUACAUACACAUGCAAAUAUGAAAACAAAAUAGAGCAUGAAGUCUAAAAAACUUUGUAUUUUUAUAUGUACGCUUCGUAUAUACUAAAUAAAAAUGAUGUCACUACUGUACACUGUAUACGACAUACGAUCAUGCUAGUGUAUGACGCACAUAGAAUUGAUAUGUACGUUUUAUUAAUUUGAAAGAAUGUAUCAAAUAAGGCUAUGAGGAUUUGUAUCAUUUUCUUAAAUAUACACUUAUUGGAUUAAAAA